AUGCGUCAGAUUGGACAAUGUUGAGACAGGCGUGCACCAGUAGGAGUGCAUGCCCUACUCCAUGUCACCGGCCUCAGACGCGAAAGUGCGGUAGAACAUGAUGCGGCCAUGUGGGCUGGACGACGUGCAUGCGGACGAGAACCCGAGCUGCACUUCGGCCUCCGCCUCGGACGAGAUCCCUGUGCACUGCAAGGCCCAGACAAGAAAAGCUUUGUUGACCCUGACCACCGAGCUUUGCCUCCAGUAUCUAAAGUAAGCAAUUCACUAUGUAGUAAUCAAUCUCACUAUGUAGUGUCCCGCACCAUGCCAAUAGUACAUAGCCUAUUAUUCUUAACUCACAACGUUGGCAAGUAAUCUGUAAUCAAACUCAAUCCAUGAUUUAUUCUAAAACCCACUGAAUUCAUAUCAUUAUCCCCAAUCAAUAAGACUGUUCCCUAACAUCUGAAUAAAUGCAUGGAAGUCAAAGUCUAUACGUAUUUGUCAAUCGGCUAUCUGCACAUCAUAAGAUUGUGCACUAUAGCGAGAAAAGGAGAAGCAAAAAGUUUAAUAUUACAACGUCUCCAGCAGCAUCGGCUUCAAUUAUUAUCCUUACAUUUCGUAUUUAAGUUAUACAUCCUUGAAAUAAUUCUCAAUGACAUGUCUAAUAGAACUGUCGUGCAUGCAAAAAUUGAGCUAGAUGCAUGUAGUACUUGAAUUAUACCUGUUUUUGCUUACAUCGUUACUUUUUUUUAUAGUAGGUAUGAUCAUCCAAUCACAGUUAACAUACUUAGAAUUAAAGCUUCCACUUCCUUAAAUUAUAGAAAGGUAUUUUCUAUCAUGACCUAUCAAAGUGUCCUUUUAGUGAUUUCACAUUUAUAAAAAUGAGUUGUGUAGAAGGUACACUUGAAACACUAACUAAAAAUGUAUGUCAGCAAACUUUUGCAAGAAAAUAAUAAUCGUGUACUCAUGGCAAAUGGGAUUAAGAAGCGUUUAUGUCAAGACUUUACAUUAGUUUGGUUACUGGCACUUCUGCCCUCGCAGGUGGCGUUGAGUCUUUACUAAGGUAUUGACUUGAUUAGUCACUCCAUGGGUUCUAGGUCUUUUACUUAACCCCCCUACUGUCACAAAAUAUGAAAUUUUCUGGAAACUAUAUGUUCAAUCGAGUGGGCUUACUAAUGGCUGGGUGAGAAUUCAAGUUCGAUUUUCAGAGUUGUAUUAUGAGGUUGAGCUAUUGUAUGGUUUCCUUCAAAAAAAUUGUACUUAUAUUUGUCUUUGGACUAUUUAUUCCUGCACUUUCUUCUAAACAUUUUUUAGAUAAAGUUUUCUACUCAUGACUCUGAAAAUUGCAUUGGCCACGGAGUGUACGUCACAUAGGGAUAUGCUCAUAAGAAAUGUUACUUGAACAUACCUAAAUGAGUUAGCUAUUUAUGAGUUUGUGUUUUACUAAAAUGAGACAGUCUACACAGUAUUGUAACAAAAAGGAGAUCUAAUUCCCCAACUUAUAUAAUGUUUUAGUCCAUACCUCACAGUACACUUAGCUGCACAAUUUGAUAAU
rnacentral:lncRNA from 1 species